rnacentral:rRNA from 1 species
UACGAAGGGAGCUAGCGUUGUUCGGAAUCACUGGGCGUAAAGCGCACGUAGGCGGAUUUGUCAGUCAGGGGUGAAAUCCCGGAGCUCAACUUCGGAACUGCCCUUGAUACAGCAAGUCUUGAGUUCGAGAGAGGUGGGUGGAAUUCCUAGUGUAGAGGUGAAAUUCGUAGAUAUUAGGAAGAACACCGGUGGCGAAGGCGGCCCACUGGCUCGAUACUGACGCUGAGGUGCGAAAGCGUGGGGAGCAAAC